AUGGAGAGUUUGAUCCUGGCUCAGGAUGAACGCUGGCGGCGUGCCUAAUACAUGCAAGUCGAGCGAACAGACGAGGAGCUUGCUCCUUUGACGUUAGCGGCGGACGGGUGAGUAACACGUGGGUAACCUACCUAUAAGACUGGGAUAACUUCGGGAAACCGGAGCUAAUACCGGAUAAUAUUUCGAACCGCAUGGUUCGAUAGUGAAAGAUGGCUCUGCUAUCACUUAUAGAUGGACCUGCGCCGUAUUAGCUAGUUGGUAAGGUAACGGCUUACCAAGGCAACGAUACGUAGCCGACCUGAGAGGGUGAUCGGCCACACUGGAACUGAGACACGGCCCAGACUCCUACGGGAGGCAGCAGUGGGGAAUUUUGCACAAUGGGGGAAACCCUGAUGCAGCGACGCCGCGUGAUUUAGAAGGCCUUCGGGUUGUAAAAAUCUUUUGUAUGGGAAGAAAAUGACAGUACCAUACGAAUAAGGACCGGCUAAUUACGUGCCAGCAGCCGCGGUAAUAC
rnacentral:rRNA from 1 species